ensembl:lncRNA
AUUCAACAAUAACACAGGUUGGAGUAGAGGCCUGCCAAGUGGGUAGGUCACCAACUGAGGCAGGCAUAGGACCAGGAGUGGUUCAUGCCAAGAGUGAAGCCUUCCUUAUCUGGAGUGGGACUCACAGCUCCUGAUCCCAGUCAGGAAUCCCUACCUUUUACCAGAACAGAGGCUGGGCAAUCCUAUGCAGGAAGCUAGCAACCCUGUGAGAAAGCAGUUCUUAUUUUGUAUAUGAGGAAACUUGGACUCAAAGAGCAUAAAGGAUUUUGCCAAUGUCACAAGUGAGGAAGGAGUACAGGUUAUAUUUGAACCCUGAUCUUCUGAUGACAAAUCUAGAAUUCAAUCCACUCGACCAGGCUGCCUUAUUUGUGUAUGUCUUAUAGUUUACCUGCUGUUACUCCCUCCAAGCUUGACCUGGUGAACAAGAAGCAUUUCUUUGUCAGAUGAAGGCAAAAUGUUAUUGUUGGAUCCUUCCUUAAGCAGAAACCUUGCAACUGACCCAUGAGUUUGUGUUCCUUACAACUUCCCCCCACAGGGGGCUGCCUGGAAUUCCUAGUGAUUGUGUUCAAGAAAGUCAUAAAGACAAAUAAUGUUGGAAUUAAAAACAACAAAAAUACACUGGGGAGCCUAUAGGAGCAACUAUAGACUCCUAGACAGCAUGGUGCUCAAUGCAGCAAAAGGAUUUUCCCACCAAUGCAAG